UACGUAUGGUGCAAGCGUUGUUCGGAUUUACUGGGCGUAAAGCGCGUGCAGGUGGAUCAUUAAGUCAGGUGUGAAAUCUUCGAGCUCAACUCGAAGACUGCACUUGAAACUAACGACCUAGAGUCCCGGAGAGGCAGGCAGAAUUCCUGGUGUAGCGGUGAAAUGCGUAGAUAUCAGGAGGAAUACCAAUGGCGAAGGCAGCCUGCUGGACGGUGACUGACACUCAUACGCGAAAGCGUGGGGAGCAAACAGG
rnacentral:rRNA from 1 species